rnacentral:rRNA from 1 species
UACGUAGGCAGCGAGCGUUGUUCGGAGUUACUGGGCGUAAAGGGUGUGUAGGCGGUUGUUUAAGUUUGGUGUGAAAUCUCCCGGCUCAACUGGGAGGGUGCGCCGAAUACUGAAUGACUUGGAGUGCGGGAGAGGAGAGUGGAAUUCCUGGUGUAGCGGUGAAAUGCGUAGAUAUCAGGAGGAACACCGGUGGUGUAGACGGCUCUCUGGACCGUAACUGACGCUGAGACACGAAAGCGUGGGGAGCGAUCCGG